rnacentral:tRNA from 2 species
GCCGGCGUAGCUCAGCGGCAGAGCGCGGGCUUCGUAAGCCUGAGGUCGUGGGUUCGAAUCCCACCGCCGGCUCCU